UUAAUUGAAGAGUUUGAUCAUGGCUCAGAUUGAACGCUGGCGGCAGGCCUAACACAUGCAAGUCGRGCGGAAACGGCRGUAUUGAARCUUCGGUGGAUUUACUGGACGUCGAGCGGCGGACGGGUGAGUAACGGCUGGGAACCUGCCCUGACGAGGGGGAUAACCGUUGGAAACGACGGCUAAUACCGCAUAAUGUCUACGGACCAAAGGUGGCCUCUACAUGUAAGCUAUCGCGUUGGGAUGGGCCCAGUUAGGAUUAGCUAGUUGGUAAGGUAAUGGCUUACCAAGGCAACGAUCCUUAGCUGGUUUGAGAGGAUGAUCAGCCACACUGGGACUGAGACACGGCCCAGACUCCUACGGGAGGCAGCAGUGGG
rnacentral:rRNA from 1 species